rnacentral:rRNA from 1 species
UACGUAGGGUGCAAGCGUUAAUCGGAAUUACUGGGCGUAAAGGCGUGCGCAGGCGGUUCGCUAAGACCGAUGUGAAAUCCCCGGGCUUAACCUGGGAACUGCAUUGGUGACUGGCGGGCUAGAGUACGGUAGAGGGGGAGUGGAAUUCCGCGUGUAGCAGUGAAAUGCGUAGAUAUGCGGAGGAACACCGAUGGCGAAGGCAAUCCCCGUGGACCUGUACUGACGCUCAUGACGACGAAAGCGUGGGGAGCAAACGA